GAAGAGUAUAUGUGAGCUAUGUUGUAACGUCACGGGUAUAUGUGAGCCGUUUGUAUAACGGUAAGGGCAUAUAUGAGCCACUUUUAUAACGAGCGGUAUAUCAGCUCUAAAUGACAAAGUUGAGGGGUAUAUCACACCUUUUCCCUAUCCAAAAUUAUAUAUACACUUUUCUUUUCUAACGGUAGAAAUCUUGGGCUUGGAGACAACCCUUUAUUAAUUAAGGACAUUGAAGAUGCAUGGAUCAAAGAUUUGAAGGCUCAAACAAUCCUAACUCUUGUAACAGCAUCUCAACUUCAUUGUGCUUAAUGAGGAUAUGGGUUUUGGAACGGUCAAUGAAAUGUUUUAGCAGCAAUAAUUUUUUGAUGAUUGACGACUUGACCUACGAGCGAGUCGUAGAAUCUUCUAUGAGCCGUAGGUAUGAGUCGUGGUUUGGAGUGGUAAUUUCUCGAGCUAAGUGUGAAACAAAGAAACCUAACGACGAGCUGUAGUUGCUUCUGUUAGCUAUACAAUUCAGUCGUAGAAUGUUCAGAGAUGUUGAGUUUCGGUGAUUGAAUGACGAGUUGACAGGACGGGCCGUACAAAGAUCAACAGACUGUUGAUCAUACCGGUCGAUAAUGCUACUAAAGUGAAGGAAUAAAUAAUGAUCGACGGAGGCUAUCUACGAACCGUAGGAAGACCUACGAGUCGUAGGUCUCAAGCAUAGAAACAACUGCCCAAGCCGAAUGUCCUUACAAUUCCUUUUCCUACUACGUUUGUGAUUUGAUAUUUAUAAGUAUUGGUUGUAAUUUUUCUUUUUAUGGGUUGUUAGACGAUUUGAUACUUUUUAUAUUAGCCUUGAGAACUAACUUGCAAACAUUUUGAGCAUUUAAUUCUUAAAGUAUUGGUUUAUAA